ACAUCAACUGCUCCAAAUCCUCAACUUCAAGAGGGGUAUCCUCAUCUAGUUCCUGGGCUUGGUCAAGUUCUGUGCCCUGGUCAGGCUCUUCCACAUUGGACACCACUCCUUUGUUGAUAUCAUCAUGCAAAGCAGCUGUCGAGGUUGAGGUCUGUGGCUCCUCCUUAUCACAAAGGGUUCCAUUCUCUUGAUUGCAUUCUGGGAAAAUAUUAUUUUGAGCAGCCAGUCCUCCCAUACUUGAGGGUCCCGCAAAAUCAUUUGCAGAAACCCAUCCUGUAUACGUGUCUUCAUGUGGUUCAGCUGAACCCGCAGAUAGGAUUUCAUACUCAAAUUCAUAAUCAGAUUCUUCUUCUGACAGGUCUAGUAGAGAGAAUUCAAACAUUUAGCAUUCUACUUAAAAGUACGUACAGGUUAUAAACCAAAUGGAAGUGGUAUAAUAUAAAACCUUCUUCUCUUUCAGGUAACGAUGGUUCAGCAAUCUUAUCGCCUGAUUUCAGAAUCAUUCCAGGCCACAUAUGUGCAGAAAGAGCACCAAAGAGUCGUUCA
rnacentral:lncRNA from 1 species